CUAUUGCGAGGUGAUUGUUUGUCAUCAAAAGAUGCUUCCUCUUCUGGGAACUCCCAAGUGAAAAAGAACUGGCGCUGCGGUCCAGAGUCUCCUGACGCCUCCAGCUGCGGCUGAGGAACUUCCCGUCUCUACAGGGGCACACGGGUCAGUCCGCUCUGGCCUGUGGUGAUCUUCGUUAUUCCCUAUUUUCUCACAUUCAGAACCACUGGGGAGAAAAUUGUCCACAGACAGGUGAGUGAGCCGCAGGUGACGGAGAGAGAGACGGAAUCAAGCUGAGUCACGAGCUCUGAGAAACAAGGCACCUCAUCAGCUCAUUUCUAAGACUCUCCGCACAUGGUCUGCGAUCAGAAAAUACACGGUUUUCAUGGAUUUCAAAACCUCAAAAGACAGCGUGGUGGUAAAAGGAAGUUGGAUCUCAAAUCCGCCUGGAUUUAAAUCCUGGUGUCCUUACUGCUGGAUGUCCUUGAGCAAAUCACUUCCACAGAGACACGCCACGCCACGUGCAAAGCAGGAGAGAGGUGGGAACCACGCAAGUUAACUGCGGACACGUUGCAAGUGAUAUGGACCAUGAUAUCAGUUUCUCCACAUUAAACCCAGCAUAUGUGGGGUUAAAACCGAAACACUCAUUCCCUGCUUACUCUCUGGCUUCCUGACUCCAGAAUCCACUAUCCUCCAUGGAGACAGACACCGUCAAGGACAAGCACCUGGACUAUCUCCUCCCACAAAGAGAUAUGGGCUGGUGGGAAAGCUGCUGACCAGCAAGGUCAUGAGCUCCCUCCUCUCUGCAAGUGUCUCAAGGCCAAAGACAGGCUGGUGGUAAAGCUCCGACCAGCAAG
rnacentral:lncRNA from 1 species